AGAUUGAACGCUGGCGGCAUGCCUUACACAUGCAAGUCGAACGGCAGCACGGGAGCAAUCCUGGUGGCGAGUGGCGAACGGGUGAGUAAUAUAUCGGAACGUGCCCAGUCGUGGGGGAUAACGCAGCGAAAGCUGUGCUAAUACCGCAUACGAUCUCUGGAUGAAAGCGGGGGACUCGCAAGGGCCUCGCGCGAUUGGAGCGGCCGAUAUCAGAUUAGCUAGUUGGUGGGGUAAAAGCUCACCAAGGCGACGAUCUGUAGCUGGUCUGAGAGGACGACCAGCCACACUGGAACUGAGACACGGUCCAGACUCCUACGGGAGGCAGCAGGUGGGGAAUUUUGGACAAGUGGGCGCGAAGCCUGAUCCAGUCAAUCGCCGCGUGCGAGGAUAGGAAGGUCCGUUUCGGGUUACGUUAAACGUUCGGUUACGUUUUU
rnacentral:rRNA from 1 species